ensembl:misc_RNA Metazoa_SRP Metazoan signal recognition particle RNA
GCCGGGCGUGGUGGCACACGCCUGUAAUCCCAGCUACUCAGGAGGCUGAGGGAGGAGAAUCGCUUGAACCCGGGAGGCAGAGGUUGCAGUGAGCCGAGACUGUGCCACUGCACUCCAGCCUGGGUAACAGAGUGAGACUCUGUCUCAA